rnacentral:rRNA from 1 species
AACGACUCUCGGCAACGGAUAUCUCGGCUCUCGCAUCGAUGAAGAACGUAGCGAAAUGCGAUACUUGGUGUGAAUUGCAGAAUCCCGUGAACCAUCGAGUCUUUGAACGCAAGUUGCGCCCGAAGCCAUCGGGCCGAGGGCACGUCUGCCUGGGCGUCACAC